rnacentral:rRNA from 1 species
AUACGGAGGAUCCGAGCGUUAUCCGGAUUUAUUGGGUUUAAAGGGUGCGCAGGCGGCCAUUUAAGUCAGCGGUUAAAUCGUGGGGCUCAACCCCAUUCUGCCGUUGAUACUGGGUGGCUUGAUUGCGGUCGAGGUUGGCGGAAUUCGUUGUGUAGCGGUGAAAUGCAUAGAUAUGACGAAGAACACCGAUUGCGUAGGCAGCUGACCAGACCGCAAAUGACGCUCAUGCACGAAAGUGCGGGGAUCGAACAGGAUUAGAUACCCUGGUAGUCCGCGCAGUAAACGAUGAAUACUUGUUUUCGGCGAUAUAAUGUCGGAGGCAAAGCGAAAGCGAUAAGUAUUCCACCUGGGGAGUACGCCGGCAACGGUGAAACUCAAAGGAAUUGACGG